UUUUGCGCCUAUCUGAUGUAAUUUAUGCUUUAAUUUCAACAAGGUUUUCCGCAUAGAAAAAUACAGUUUAAUCGUGAAGGAUUAGUUGUCUUGGUGUACCCAAAAGUUACGAAGCCAAUCGUAACAUAAAACAUUAGUAGAAAAUAAGUUUCAUUAAAAAAAUAAUCAUUUUUAUCAAAGAAUCGAUUAAGGGGUAAAAUGCGCCGCCAUAUUAGCAAGAAUCAUCAUGACUCACGUUGAAAAAAGGUUAAUUCACUGAUUUUAUUUCGAUCGUCAAAAGCAACCCAGCAUGCUAAUAAAAAACCAAGAAGGCAUGAUGUUAGCUCAAACAUUAUUAAAUUAUUAUUACCACGCAUGAAACAAUCCCUCUUCGCCAUAUUUCAAAUUACCAAAUGAUAACAAAUAAAAUUUCAAUUUAAAAUCAAUUGAGCGCAUUACACGGUUAGACCCUUAUCUGAAGCAACGCCAGAAAACAUCUGUCACUUCGAGCGCAUUAACAAAAGAGAAAACAAAAAAUCGCAGUUCUCAGUAGAAAGUGUUGUACUAUAGGCAAAAUGGGACGAAUUUAUCGACGCAAAACUGACCGUAGAGCUUGGACUGUCGAAAAAAUGAACCAAGCAGUUCAUGCAGUGCGAGGAGGAAUGGGAAAAAGGACCGCGGCACGCAUUUACGAAGUGCCAAGAAAGACUUUAGAACGGUACCUCGAUAAGACGGCAGACGGAGAAUCAAUCCAGGUAAGACAACUGGGAAGUAUCAAACCAGUGUUUACGCUUGCACACGAGGAACAGUUAGCCAGUGAACUAAUACGUUUCAGUCAGAUGGGAUAUGGCCUGACUUCUAAAGAUGUCCGCAGUUUGGCGUAUAAAAAGGCAAACGAGAACGGUAUUCCCCAUCCGUUUAAUCUUUCCACAAAACUUGCUGGAAAGGAUUGGUUCAAGCAGUUUGUGCAUCGAAACCCUUCUUUGACAUUGCGGCAGCCAGAAGACACAUCGAUGGCACGUAUGAAAGGAUUCAACCGUGAGAGCGUCAAGAUUUUUUUAAGCUGCUCGAAGAAGCUUUUGCAACCCAUAAUUACCCACCCAGCAGAGUAGCGAACAUGGAUGAAACAGCAGUUAGCACCGUACCUACAAAAACAAAUAAAGUUAUUGCGAAGAAGGGAGAAAGGCGCGUUGCUGGAGUUACUUCGGCUGAGCGGGGAAUCACCACAACAGUCAUAUUUUCAAUGUCAGCGAGCGGCAAUUAUCUGCCACCGACAUUUAUAUUUCCCCGUAUAAGGAUGCAAGAGUCGUGGAAAUGCGGUGCUCCGCAAGAUUCAAAGUUCUUGUGCUCUGCAAGCGGUUGGAGCAACAUGGAAACAUGUAACACGUGGAUGGAUCAUUUCAUAGAACAUUUCAAACCUACCGAAAAAGAUCCGAUGCUACUAAUAUUGGAUGGGCAUACAAGCCACUCCAGAAAUUUCAGUAUGCUAGAGAAAGCGAACGUCAAUCACGUGCAAAUUAUAUCGAUGCCACCCCACACUUCCCACAAGUUACAACCGCUUGACGUAGCUUUCAUGAGUCCGUUCAAAGCAAAGUAUUCUAAUGCAGUGAAUGCUUUUAUGAAGAACUAGUUGAACGUUCCCGGCGAUGCUCGGGAUCAAAGGUUUCAAAAUUAGGAAUCAUUUUGUAUAAUUAAUUGCAUUAUUAACCCAACUCACUCUAAAAAUAUUUCACAUCUUAUACGUCCAUCAUCACUAUAAGUACCUCAACAUUCAGAGAACGCAAAGAACGGAAAUACUCAUAUUGGAUUGCAUUUUGUGAUUUUGGGCUGUUUUACAGAAACUGGAAGUCGCUGUUUCGGAUAUUAACGUACAGACGUACAGAGUUCCACUUUCGGAAGUAUUGAAAUGGUUGGCCAAAUACCACUUCAGGUUAUUUUCCUGAAUCCGCCAUUUUGUAAAAUAUUGUGUGGGGUCAUCCCAGUUCCGAAUAUACCAAAUUCGGGUGGUGUCCGGAUAUUCGAUAAUCGUUUACAGUAAAACCUCUUUUAUGUGAUUUUUGAAAGAAAGAAAUCGAAGUAUGUAAUAGGAAUUGCGCAUGACCAUUCAUGCUUAGUUCACCUCUAUAAUGAUAUCUAAAUUAAUUCUUCAAUCCACAAAACUACGUAGAAAUUUAAAAAAAAUUAAUGCAUAAGUCGCCUCCUAAUCGAUGUUUAAAUUAAUGAAAUGCGGCCUUUCCUCCAGCCAAAUGUCUCAAGAUCUAGUUUAGGUAAAAGUAAUAAAAUAAAUCGAAUCUCGUAAUGUGUUACCAUUCACAAAACUACGAAAACAUCAGAAAUGUAAUUUUUCUUCUGCUCGACUCGCACAUAAUCAAAACAUGGAUUUUUCUGCAAGAAAAUAUCCGCAGAUGUUGAAGGAACAGCGAACAUUUUAUUGAAAAAAAAUCACAUGUCAUCGCUUAGAAUUUUUUAUUUAGAGGCGAAUUGAGCUUAUGCUCAAA